GAUGAACGCUGGCGGCGUGCCUAAUACAUGCAAGUCGAGCGAACAGACGAGGAGCUUGCUCCUCUGACGUUAGCGGCGGACGGGUGAGUAACACGUAGAUAACCUACCUAUAAGACUGGGAUAACUUCGGGAAACCGGAGCUAAUACCGGAUAACAUGUUGAACCGCAUGGUUUAACAGUGAAAGACGGUCUUGCUGUCACUUAUAGAUGGAUCCGCGCCGCAUUAGCUAGUUGGUAAGGUAACGGCUUACCAAGGCAACGAUGCGUAGCCGACCUGAGAGGGUGAUCGGCCACACUGGAACUGAGACACGGUCCAGACUCCUACGGGAGGCAGCAGUAGGGAAUCUUCCGCAAUGGGCGAAAGCCUGACGGAGCAACGCCGCGUGAGUGAAGAAGGUCUUCGGAUCGUAAAACUCUGUUAUUAGGGAAGAACAAAUGUGUAAGUAACUAUGCACGUCUUGACGGUACCUAAUCAGAAAGCCACGGCUAACUACGUG
rnacentral:rRNA from 1 species